rnacentral:tRNA from 1 species
GGGCCGCUAGCUCAACUGGCAGAGCAACGGACUCUUAAUCCGUGGGUUAUAGGUUCGACUCCUAUGCGGCUCA